UUGUCUCAAAGAUUAAGCCAUGCAUGUCUCAGUACAAGCCAAAUUAAGGUGAAACCGCGAAAGGCUCAUUAAAUCAGUUAUGGUUCCUUAGAUGGUACCCACAUUUACUUGGAUAACUGUGGUAAUUCUAGAGCUAAUACAUGCAAACAGAGUUCCGACCGGAGACGGAAGGAAACGCUUUUAUUAGAACAAAACCAAUCGGCAUUUGACCAUUUACUUUCUCAAUUUUUUGGGUGGUGAUGACUUUUGUCGUACAUUUUGAUGAAUCUGAAUAAAUUUUUGCUGAUCGCACGGUCUUGCACCGGCGACGCAUCUUUCAAAUGUCUGCCUUAUCAACUGUCGAUGGUAGGUUCUGUGCCUACCAUGGUUGUAACGGGUAACGGGGAAUCAGGGUUCGAUUCCGGAGAGGGAGCCUGAGAAACGGCUACCACAUCCAAGGAAGGCAGCAGGCGCGCAAAUUACCCACUCCCGGCACGGGGAGGUAGUGACGAAAAAUAACGAUACGGGACUCAUCCGAGGCCCCGUAAUCGGAAUGAGUACACUCUAAAUCCUUUAACGAGUAUCAAUUGGAGGGCAAGUCUGGUGCCAGCAGCUGCGGUAAUUCCAGCUCCAAUAGCGUAUAUUAAAGUUGUUGCGGUUAAAAAGCUCGUAGUCGAAUUUGUGUCCCGUGCCGCCGGUUCAUCGUUCGCGGUGUUAACUGGCGUGUUCUCACGGGACGUCCUGCCGGUGGGUUUAGUCGAAACGGGCAAUGUGCUUAUACGUGUUUUCUAUGUGUGUGUGUAAUUUAGUAGUAGUAGUUCAGUUGCCUUAAUCCGCUCUGGCUAUUAUUUAUUAUUUUUACUACAUGUGGGCGCGUGUUUGUGUGUUCUCGCUAGGCGGCCCAACUUAUAAUCCCGCCGCGGUGCUCUUUACUGAGUGUCGAGGCGGGCCGGCACAUUUACUUUGAACAAAUUAGAGUGCUUAAAGCAGGCUAAAUUUUGCCUGAAUAUUGUGUGCAUGGAAUAAUGGAAUAGGACCUCGGUUCUAUUUUGUUGGUUUUCGGAACAACGAGGUAAUGAUUAAUAGGAACGGAUGGGGGCAUUC
rnacentral:rRNA from 1 species